UCACAUUGCAUCAAUUAAUCUCUCUUCUUAUUGCUAUUUUUUAUUCCUCGGAUUAUGACCCCCUCUCUCACAAGCAUGCUGGCUGGGAAAUAUGUUCCAGUAGAUGUUGUUGCACUGCUAAACUCAACACUCCAGAUGGGGGUUGGAGAAUACGAUCAAAGGGAAAACAUCAGAUAUGGUGAUUCCCAACCAAGCAGUGGCUUCUUAGACACCCAACAUUUUGCACAACCAAACAUGACCAGAACUUCUAAACCUAUAUGUUGAGGAUUCACACUCAAGGAGCAAGAAACAUCUCAGCAACUCAUUGGGAUCGAGCAGUCAAAAUUCAGAAUCAAGUGACACACAAGAGCUAGAUUUGGAGCUUAGACUUACACUAUAAUCAGUAAUUUUUUUUGCUACUUUAAAUGCAUGCUCCUGGAACUACAUUUUAUGCUUUCCUAGAAUUGUAAGUUCAAAUAAGGUGUUGAUCUGCAAUUUAUACAUACAACUUGAGCAAGUUGAUAUGAACUAGUUUCAAUUUUUUUAAAAAAAAAUUCAAAGGAAUGUUAUGUAAUCAAAGGCAAUUUGACUUGCUGCAUGAGAUAUAGUGAAAAACAUUUAUCUUCUUGUU